ACAUGUGUCCUGGAUGUGCAGCCGGGACUCCAGGAAUGGCUGGAGACGGGAGGUUGCGUCGGUAGAGGAUCCGGGUCACUGUGAGCCCAAAGUAGGCGCCAAAUGUGUGGAUGGUCAUGGAGCCUCCUGCAUCCUUCACCUGGGGUGCAAGGGGCCUGUCAGACUCUGGCACCUUCUCUCCCUCCCUCCUCAUUGCCGUCCCUGUCUUGCCACACACACACACGCCCAGAGCUCCAGCCUUCUCGGACUCUUCAGGGUGCAGGAUGGAGCCUGGGGCCUUCACGGACCAAUCAACUGGUAAUGGGGAGAAGGAAGCUGCUAGGUCUCUCUUGACCUCAGUGAGCCCCAGCAAUCACCAACCAAGGAAGGGGCCCAGGGAGCCUCUUCCAGUCCAGAAGUCUUCUCUUCAUCCCUUUCUCUGCGGCAAGACCAACUGUCAGAGCCUCCACAGCCUGAGGGCCUGGGUGGCGUGACCCCUGCAGAAUAGGGGGAGCAGAGGGAAAGCUAGGCAUUGACGUCCCUGGUUUUACUUCUGCUUCUUGAGUAGUUGUGUGACCCUGGGCAAAUUGUCAACCUCUCUGAGUCUCUACUCUCUCAUCUGUAAAAUCGAGACAGUUAUCUCCCCUCGGGUCUUGGUGAGACUUAUUCUGAGUAGCUGGGACUACAGGUCUGUGCCACCAUGCCCAUCUAAUGUUUUCUGUAUUUUUGUAGGGGUGGAGUUUUGCUAUAUUGCCCAGGCUGAUCUUGAAUUUCCAGGCUUAAGUGAUCCUCCCACUUCGGCCUCCCCGAGUGCUGGGAUUACGGGCGUGAGCCACUGCACCCAGCUGUGCCUGGAACAAUUGAAAAGCAUGUGCCACUUGAGAUUCUGCAGAGAAAGAUAGGUAAUCAAGGUUGAAGAACUGAGGCAGCCUGCUGACAUUCAGACUAGAACUCCACCAUCAGCUCUCCUGGGUCUCCAGCUUGCUGACUGCAGAUCUUGGGACUUGGCAGCCUCCAUAAUCAUGUGAGCCAAUUCCUUAUAAAAACUCUCUCUCUGCUUCUCUCUCUCUCUCUACACACACACACACACACACACACACACACACAGUUGACCCUUUAACAACAUAGGUUUGAGCUGCAUGGAUUCACUUAUACACAAAUUUUUCUCAAUAAAAAGUGCACUGGCCAGGUGCAGUGGCUCACGCCUGUAAUCCCAACACUUUGGGAAGCCAAGGCAGGUGGAUCACGAGGUCAGGAGAUUGAAACCAACCUGGCCAACAUGGUGAAACCCUGUUUCUACUAAAAAUACAAAAAUAAUUCGGGUGCGGUGGUGGGUGCCUGUAAUCCCAGCUACUCAGGAGGCUGAGGUAGGAGAAUUGCUUGAACCCAGGAGGUGGAGGUUGCAGUGAGCCAAGAUCACGCCAUUGCACUCCAGCCUGGUUGAUAGAACGAGACUCUGUCUCAAAAAAACAAAACAAAACAACAACAACAAAAAUGCACUGAGUGUGCCUGCUUCUCCUGCCUUCCCUUCCACCUCCCCCACAUCUUUCUCCUCUGCCAUUUCUGAGACAGCAAGACCAACCCCUCCUCUUCCUCCUUCUCCGUCUACUCAAUAUGAAGAUGAGAAUGAAGACCUUUAUGAUGAUCCACUUCCACCUAAUGAACACUAAAUAUAUUUCCUCUUUCUUAUGAUUUUCUUAACAUUUUCUUUUCUCUUGCUUACUUUAUUGUAAGAAUACAAUAUAUCAUACAUAUUACACAUGAAAUAUGUGUUAAUUGACUGUUCAUGUUAUUGAAGGCUUCUGAUCUGCAGUAGCCUAUUAGUAGUUAAGUUUUUGGGGAUCAAAAGUUAUAUGUAAAUUUUUGAUUGCCUGGGAAGUUGGUGCCCCUAAUCCCUGUGUUGUUCAAGGGUCAAAUGUUUAUGUAUAUAGAUAAAUGUUAUAUAUAAUAUAUAUGAUAUGAUAUAUGUCAAUGGUAUA
rnacentral:lncRNA from 1 species